AAUCCAUGAUGUGGGCAUUGUCUGAGCAUGUUGUUGUAUCUAUCCCAUGCCUCAAAUAAUGAUUCAAAGUCUAACUGUCUGAAGAUUACUAUUAUAUUUCUCAUAUG